rnacentral:sRNA from 1 species
CCCGCGCAGAGUGGGAACCAUCGCCCGGUGCGGGCCUGACCUUCCAGGGCCGGCGACUCCUCGGCAGAGCGACCGCGCGGUGUCUCAGAGCGCGGCCCGGAGCCGCACUAAGAGCGCUGGACGGCGGGAGAGAGGCUCGGAGGACCGGUAGCUCCCAGCAAAGCGGCCUAGCGGAUGUCGGGAGCUAUCUUCGGGCCCCUGGAGGGCCCGAGCUCCCUGGAUGCCCCGAGCAUCCACCCGCUGGUGUGCCCGCUGUGCCACGUGCAGUACGAGCGCCCGUGUCUUCUGGACUGUUUCCACGACUUCUGUGCCGGCUGCCUGCGUGGCCGCGCGACCGACGGCCGCCUCACCUGCCCGCUGUGCCAACACCAGACGGUGCUGAAGGGUCCCAGCGGGCUCCCGCCGGUGGACCGGCUACUGCAGUUCCUGGUGGACAGCUCAGGGGAUGGCGUGGAGGCGGUGCGCUGUGCCAACUGUGACCUGGAGUGCAGCGAGCAGGCAGGGGCGGCAGGGCGGGUGGGUGAGGAGCAGAGGGUACCCGGUUGCACAGU